CCUUCAAUUUACAGCUUUCUUCUCUCUUUCAUCGCGACUCUGACAUGAAGCCGCCGUUCUGACUGCAGAGGUCAGAGUAAAACCUGGUCUGGGUCUGGGACCUCUGCUCCAGCUGACUGGUCCAGAGGACAAACAGUGUGUGUUCUGCCAUGGAUCAGUGUGAGGACAGAGAGGAGGGAGUCCGUCCCUCUGAAAGGACUCUGUGUGGAGAACAUGAGAACCAGACCACAGCUCAGAGCUCUGACUCUGAGUUUCCGUCCAGCUGUGAGUCCCUGAAGAGUGACUGGUCUAUGAAGGAACCCCUUCACUUUAAAUCAGGACCAGGACCUGCUGAUGAGGGCGUCAGCCAGCAGAGCUCCCAGGUUCUCCGUGGAGGCUCCGCCCCUCAGCAUCCAGCACAUCUGGACUCCAUCUUUAUGGUGAGAACCAGUCUCCAUUCAACACUUUACUGUCUCAUCAGGGAGACAGGAGACGUUGUUGUGACUUCCAGCUGAAACAUGAAGCAGA